rnacentral:rRNA from 1 species
GGUUGGCAAUCAGGUGGCGAGUGCAAGUGUACAAGGGAGCUUGACUGCGAGACAGACAUGUCGAGCAGGGACGAAAGUCGGAACUAGUGACCCGACGGUGGCUUGUGGAAGCGCCGUCGCUCCACGGAUAAAAGGUACCCCGGGGAUAACAGGCUGAUCUUCCCCAAGAGUCCAUAUCGACGGGAUGGUUUGGCACCUCGAUGUCGGCUCGUCGCAUCCUGGGGGUGGAGUAUCUCCCAAGGGUUGGGCUGUUCGCCCAUUAAAGCGGCACGCGAGCUGGGUUUAGAACGUCGUGAGACAGUUCGGUCCCUAUCCGCUGUGCGCGUAGGAAACUUGAGAGAGGCUGACCCUAGUACGAGAGGACCGGGUUGGACGAACCUCUGGUGUGUGAGUUGUUCUGCCAAGGGCACCGCUCAUUAGCUACGUUCGGAAGUGAUAACCGCUGAAAGCAUCUAAGCGGGAAGCAUGUCUCAAGAUGAGGUUUCCAUGAACUUCGGUUCGAGAGGCUCCCAGUAGACU